rnacentral:rRNA from 1 species
GACAUGAAGUUCGGUCSGCAAACCCGCUGAAUUUAAGCCUGAACUUGCUGAAAGGAAAGCGGAUGGAACCACCAUUGCGUGGCGAGAUUGUUGUGCGCCUCAGAGAUUGCCUGUCGAGCGAGCGCAAGCAGCUUGGUGGGUUCUGAUCUGGCAACGCGCGAUGCUUCUUGCCUUGUGCGUCACUGACUGUUCGUCGGCGAGGAUACCUCUGGGGACAUGUCAGCGAGCCUUCGGGAGCGCGAAUGUGCCCAGCAGUACUCGCUUGCGCACAGUGCCCUCGCCUCAGAUCGCGUUGCUCUCUGUGAGCGUGCGCGCAUGUGCGCMCUUGCCAGUGGCACCYUUCUGAUGCAUCUCUAGUGGCGAAAUGGUUCCAUUCGACCCGUCUUGAAACACGGACCAAGGAGUYUAACAUGUGUGCGAGUUCUUGGGUGUCAAGCCUACGUGCGCAAUGAAAGUGAGUACUGAGAUGUUCGCAUCAGCAGCCGACCGAUCGAUUGGGAGAGGUUUGAGCAAGAGCAUAUCUGUUAGGACCCGAAAGAUGGUGAACUAUGCCUGAGAAGGGCAAAGUCUGGGGAAACUCAGAUGGAGGCUCGUAGCGAUACUGACGUGCAAAUCGUUCGUCAUACUUGGGUAUAGGGGCGAAAGACUAAUCGAACCAUCUAGUAGCUGGUUCCCUCCGAAGUUUCCCUCAGGAUAGCUGGAGUUGAAUAGUUUUAUCAGGUAAAGCGAAUGAUUAGAGGAAUCGGGGGCGCGUUGCCCUCGACCUAUUCUCAAACUUUAAAUGGGUAAGCUCCAGUGGUUACUUCGUUGAACUUCUGGGAUAAAUUGCGACUCUAAGUGGGCCAUUUUUGGUAAGCAGAACUGGCGAUGAGGGAUGAACCUAACGUUGGGAUAAGGUGCUUAACUGCUCGCUCAUCAGAUACCAUAAAGGGUGUUGGUUCAUUUUAACAGCAGGACGGUGGUCAUGGAAGUCGAAAUCCGCUAAGGAGUGUGUAACAACUCACCUGCCGAAUGGACUAGCCCCGAAAAUGGAUGGCGCUUAAGCGGGUGGCCGAUACCCAACCAUUGCUGCAAUUGUGCAGCAGCAAUGAGUAGGAGGGCGUGGGGGCUUGUGAUGCAGCUUUUGGCGUAAGCCUGGGUKAARCMNCCUYUAG